CCUACGGGAGGCAGCAGUGGGGAAUCUUGGACAAUGGGCGCAAGCCUGACCCAGCCAUGCCGCGUGAGUGAAGAAGGCCUUCGGGUUGUAAAGCUCUUUUGUCAGGGACGAUAAUGACGGUACCUGAAGAAUAAGCCCCGGCAAACUUCGUGCCAGCAGCCGCGGUAAUACGAAGGGGGCUAGCGUUGUUCGGAAUUACUGGGCGUAAAGCGCACGUAGGCUGACAUUUAAGUCAGGGGUGAAAUCCCGAGGCUCAACCUCGGAACUGCCUUUGAUACUGGGUGUCUCGAGUCCGGAAGAGGUUAGUGGAAUUCCCAGUGUAGAGGUGAAAUUCGUAGAUAUUGGGAAGAACACCAGUGGCGAAGGCGGCUAACUGGUCCGGUACUGACGCUGAGGUGCGAAAGCGUGGGGAGCAAACAGGAUUAGAUGCCCUGGUAGUCCACGCCGUAAACUAUGGGUGCUAGCCGUUGGGAAGCUUGCUUUUCAGUGGCGCAGCUAACGCAUUAAGCAUCCCGCCUGGGGGAGGUACGGUCGCGAGAGUAAACUACGAAAGAAGUAGACGCGUGUAGAGUUGCGAGACGACGACGAGGAGGAGG
rnacentral:rRNA from 1 species